UGGGGAAUAUUGGACAAUGGGCGCAAGCCUGAUCCAGCCAUGCCGCGUGAGUGAUGAAGGCCCUAGGGUUGUAAAGCUCUUUCACCGGUGAAGAUAAUGACGGUAACCGGAGAAGAAGCCCCGGCUAACUUCGUGCCAGCAGCCGCGGUAAUACGAAGGGGGCUAGCGUUGUUCGGAUUUACUGGGCGUAAAGCGCACGUAGGCGGACUAUUAAGUCAGGGGUGAAAUCCCGGGGCUCAACCCCGGAACUGCCUUUGAUACUGGUAGUCUUGAGUUCGAGAGAGGUGGGGGGAGUUCCGAGUGUAGAGGUGAAAAUCGUAGAUAUUCGGAGGAACACCAGUGGCGAAGGCGGCUCACUGGCGCGAUACUGACGCUGAGGUGCGAAAGCGUGGGGAGCGAACAGG
rnacentral:rRNA from 1 species